rnacentral:lncRNA from 1 species
AACCCUGGCUUCUAUCUCAGACCCUUACACUGAACUGGUAAACUCCUCACACACCCAUGCCAACAAGAAGGACGACUGUUUUCGAUCUCAUUGUAUAAUCUGGCAGAUUCAUCACUCUGUUGUUUCCUGGUAAGCUCGUCUCCUGACACCUGGGUAAUUGCCCAUCAUUGUGGGGAAAAGAGAGAUCAGACUGUUACUGUGCCUAUGUAGAAAAGGAAGACAAAAGAAACUCCAUUUUGAUCUGUACAAAGAAAAAUUGUUAUGCUUUGAGAUGCUGUUAACCUGUAACUUUAGCCCCAACCCUGUGCUCACAGAAACAUGUGCUGUAUUGAAUCAAGGUUUAAGGGAUUUAGGGCUGUGCAGGAUGUGCCUUGUUAACCAUAUGUUUGCAGACAGUAUGCUUGGUAAAAGUCAUCGCCAUUCUCCAUUCUCUGUUAACCAGGGACACGAUGCACUGCGGAAAGCCGCAGGGACCUCUGCCCAAGAAAGCCUGGGUAUUGUCCAAGGUUUCCCCCGACUGAGACAGCCCGAGAUAUGGCCUCGUGGGAUUGGAAAGACCUUACCAUCCCCUAGCCCGACACCCAUAAAGGGUCUGUGCUGAGGAGGAUUAGUAAAAGAGGAAGGCCUCUUUGUGGUUGAGAUAAGAGGAAGUCCUCUGUUUCCCGCAUGUCCCUGGGAAUGGAAUGUCUCGGUGUAAAGCCGACUAUUCGUUCUAUUCUGAGAUAGGAGAAAACUGCC